rnacentral:rRNA from 1 species
GACGAACGCUGGCGGCGUGCUUAACACAUGCAAGUCGAACGGAAAGGCCCUGCUUUUGUGGGGUGCUCGAGUGGCGAACGGGUGAGUAACACGUGAGUAACCUGCCCUUGACUUUGGGAUAACUUCAGGAAACUGGGGCUAAUACCGGAUAGGAGCUCCUGCCGCAUGGUGGGGGUUGGAAAGUUUCGGCGGUUGGGGAUGGACUCGCGGCUUAUCAGCUUGUUGGUGGGGUAGUGGCUUACCAAGGCUUUGACGGGUAGCCGGCCUGAGAGGGUGACCGGCCACAUUGGGACUGAGAUACGGCCCAGACUCCUACGGGAGGCAGCAGUGGGGAAUAUUGCACAAUGGGCGGAAGCCUGAUGUAGCAACGCCGCGUGCGGGAUGACGGCCUUCGGGUUGUAAACCGCUUUCGCCUGUGACGAAGCGUGAGUGACGGUAAUGGGUAAAGAAGCACCGGCUAACUACGUG